AGCGAACGCUGGCGGCAGGCCUAACACAUGCAAGUCGAACGAACUCUUCGGAGUUAGUGGCGGACGGGUGAGUAACACGUGGGAACGUGCCUUUUGGUUCGGAAUAACUCAGGGAAACUUGUGCUAAUACCGAAUGUGCCCUUCGGGGGAAAGAUUUAUCGCCAUUAGAGCGGCCCGCGUCUGAUUAGCUAGUUGGUGAGGUAACGGCUCACCAAGGCGACGAUCAGUAGCUGGUCUGAGAGGAUGACCAGCCACACUGGGACUGAGACACGGCCCAGACUCCCACGGGAGGCAGCAGUGGGGAAUCUUGCGCAAUGGGCGAAAGCCUGACGCAGCCAUGCCGCGUGAAUGAUGAAGGUCUUAGGAUUGUAAAAUUCUUUCACCGGGGACGAUAAUGACGGUACCCGGAGAAGAAGCCCCGGCUAACUUCGU
rnacentral:rRNA from 1 species